UCGGAGGAGACAUUCUUUGGAUGAGAAGUCUGCCUGUUCUGAUUGAUAUGAAAAAUCUCAUAACACUACUAAAGAGGUUGUCUGCUGUGCCAAAGAACUCCCCCAUCGGGUUAUCAGGAGCUAAGUGGGAAGAACCCCAGCUGUUUGACUGGUUUGAUCCUC